rnacentral:misc_RNA from 1 species
GUAGGUGAACCUGCGGAAGGAUCAUUAGUGGAUUGAAUAUGUUAGCGGACCUCUUCGGAGUCCCUAGCAUCAAAUCAUAUCCAUAACACCUGUGAACUGUAAGGCUGUCUUGAAAACGAAAGUGAUUAGAGCGCCUGCCCAUUUUAUACAAACAUUAAAGUAGCAAACGUAGUCUUACUAUAAUCUAAUAAAACUUUCAACAACGGAUCUCUUGGCUCUC